AUUGUGUUUAGUAAAGUGGUUUGUUGUCUGAGAUGUGUACAUCUUGCACCCCUGGUCUUACUUUUUUUUCCCCUUCGUCUCCCCAUGCUCCCAUCAAAACCCCCAAAUCACCACUCCCUUUCUCCAUCCGUCAAAACCUCCACCAUCUCCACCCACCAUCACCCUUCUCCCAUACCCGGCCUGUAACCAGCACCAUUCAACACCGCCUACGGUGGUGAUUCACGAUGGGGAUGCGGCGGCUCGGGGUAUUAUAGAAAGGUAGACAAAGCGGACGGAGAACUGGUUAGGGUUUCGACAAUUCGUUCACCAGUGUCGUCCCUCUAUAGCAACAGUGGGUUAUUGGGUAACAACGAAGAUGGUUUUGUAUCUCAGAACCGAAUAGACGACGCCGGCGAGGUCCAGCAAAUCCUCCGAAAAAUUAUAUGGACAGAGGAUUUCUUAUGAGCUUCAUCUUCAUGUUCUUGAGCUUUAACAGUUCUGGAUUUGAAAUCGAAAGGAGAAUCGAAGAUAUAUAAGUUUGAAGGUGAAUUAGAUCGCGAUUUGUGAUAAGUCCGAUUGGCAAACAAAUUCCGAAGAUAAAUGAAUUGAUCCACUUUAGUCUCUAAAGUAAGUUUUAGCAUUGUAUUCAUUGUUUAAGCUUUAACUAGCAAGACUUCACUGGCCUGUUGGGUUUUUUUAUUUGUAUGGUUAACACUUUACUUUAAAUUUGGUAUGUAGCCAUAUAUUUAUUUGGAAAUACGUCAUUCUGUUAUCUGGAUUGUCUUUUGCGUGGUGACGUUUGUUUCUCCUGUUAGCAAUCAUGCUUGAAAUGUAGGCGUUGUGCCUCUUUUGCUGUUGAUGUCGCUUAUGUGCCAAACAAGUUGCCAUAUAAGUUCAGAGAAUAUGCGCCAAACAAGUUGCGAGGUGGACUCAACUUUCCUUAUGGUGGAACCGGGGUGUUCGACACUAGCAACUUGCAGCCAAACAUGACCACUCAGAUUGGGUUUCUUCAAGGGCUAAUUAAAGAGAGGGUCUACAUUACUCGAGAUUUAAAAGCAUCUUUGACUCUUGUCGCAGUCUCGGGUAAUGACUAUGGGACUUACACUUCUACAAGUGGCUCUGAGCAGGGUCUGCCUCCAUUCAUUUCAAGAGUUGUCAAUCAAAUGGCACAGGUUUUGAAGCUAAUUCAUGAUACGGGUGUACGACGAGUGUUGGUGACUAGCCUACAGCCGGUAGGAUGCCUCCCCAGAGAAACCGUCUUUUCAUCAUACAAGCAAUGCAAUGAAAGUCGGAAUACAACAGCCAGUUUCCAUAACCAAUUGUUGCAGUAGGCUGUGACGACGCUGAACAAUAACACCAAAGAUUCUAGCUUUCUCAUUCUUGAUAUCUUUAGUGCGUUCAACACGGCGUUAAAGAGUAAAAAAGAUUUUAGAGAAAAGGCAUAAAAAGGGACCAGGCCGGCAGGCCCUCUUGGAAUGACCAGGCUGUAACUAGCCCAAGUGGAGGAAUGGGCUAAAACAAGUAAAUCGUAUGGGUUUUCAUUAUUCGAAGCGGACAAGUUCGAAUUAGGAAUUCGGAUUUCUUUGCAUAUGGUGGAACCGGGGUGUUUGACAUGGCGAAGUGGACCGUUCGACAAAGAAGCGACAUGGAAAUGCACCUAACAACCCCAGCCUAGAAAGGGAACACUGGAAACAUGGAAACGACAUCGAAGAGGCAACUGGAAUUCCCUGACUCAAAUCCACCAUCAAAAAGGCCUGGCAAAGGUGGUUUGGCAGAUAAACUCAAUUCACAGAAGAUGUCCCUUUUGGCCACCAAAAAGAAGAAGCAAAUGUGGGAUAGCGGUCCGGAAUUAGAAUCGCUAAAGGCAUUCCUUUUGAACAAAUCAUAGUUCAACCAGCAACACAUCUAUGGCUGCCUACUAACUACACCACGGAUAUAAGUAGCACCAUGAAUGACUUUAGGACAACUUGUAACUAAUGGUAAACUACAUGCUAAUGACACCAGUGUGUAUAAACAGCAACAUGAUUAAUUAAUGGCCAGUUGUUAUUAACAUCA